GACGAACGCUGGCGGCGUGCCUAAUACAUGCAAGUAGAACGCACAGUUUAUACCGUAGCUUGCUACACCAUAGACUGUGAGUUGCGAACGGGUGAGUAACGCGUAGGUAACCUGCCUGGUAGCGGGGGAUAACUAUUGGAAACGAUAGCUAAUACCGCAUAAUAUUAAUUAUUGCAUGAUAAUUAAUUGAAAGGUGCAAUUGCACCACUACCAGAUGGACCUGCGUUGUAUUAGCUAGUAGGUGAGGUAACGGCUCACCUAGGCGACGAUACAUAGCCGACCUGAGAGGGUGAUCGGCCACACUGGGACUGAGACACGGCCCAGACUCCUACGGGAGGCAGCAGUAGGGAAUCUUCGGCAAUGGACGAAAGUCUGACCGAGCAACGCCGCGUGAGUGAAGAAGGUUUUCGGAUCGUAAAGCUCGGUUGUAAGAGAAGAACGGGUGUGAGAGUGGAAAGUUCACACUGUGACGGUAUCUUACCAGAAAGGGACGGCUAACUACGUG
rnacentral:rRNA from 1 species